CACAGCCCAACCCUCUCUCUCUCGCUCAUUGUCUCUCUCACCACGCGCACAGGCACGAACACGACCUUUCCCUUGUUCGUUCCCCUCCUGCGAUCGAGUCGUCGCCUGCUGCCGUCCCGGCCGUUGCCGGCCGAAUCCGCCGUCGCUGCUCGCCGGUUCCGCUCCAUCCCUCUCUCCUCCGUUGUUUCCCUGCUGCCGCUAUGCACGAACUUGCCCGUGCUCCCCGCCGCCUACUGCUCCGCCGCCUGCUAUCGGCCGUUCGCGGCCUACUCCGACGCCGGCGAGAGGGGGUUUUGCUCCACCUUGAGGUGAUCUACAACUCCACCUCGACGAUUUAAUUCCCGUGGCUUCUCCCGUUCGUUCCCCAACCUGAAACCCUUGUCGGUCGCCUCCGUCGCCCGGCCAGCCGUCGGCCAACCCCGGCGCCGCGGCGUGCCGCUGCUGCUCCGCCUCCUCGGCUCUUGGUCUGAUGUUGCUGGGAUGGUGGGGUGCUGGCGCUGUGGUGCCUAUCUUCGGUGAACUGGUGCUGCGGCAUCUACUUCAUCCUCGAUCGACGCCGGCGGGAUGGCGUCUACGACUGCAACCCCGGCGUCCUCACUUCUCUGCAUCCUCUACUACUAUACUACUACGGAAAGAAGAACAAGAAGAUUGGAAGAUUGAGAAGAUUUAGAUUUAGGACUUCUUUUAUUUUCUUUUUGUAAUCUUUCUCUCUUUCUAUUUAUGUGACUUGUAAAUAAUUGGAUAAUGUUAUUUAUAGUAAAGUUUAAAUUGUUUGUUCA